ACCAUCUGGUGCCUCAGGUCAGGACUGCACAAGAUCCGUGAACCAGGAGGUGGCGGUCCCUUAGUCCAGACAGGCCGUGUGACUGGAAGAGAGAGGGAGGGACACAGAGUCCUAGAAAUCUCAAGGCCUCACAGGAGUAAGGAGGUGGCUGGAGAGAGCCUUGACACCUUGCAGAGAUCCGAAGAGGCUCCAGGCUGAGCAGCAAGGGUCCACUCCUCUCUGGCAGGUCACCUGACUGAACCCAAGCAAGACCACAUCCACACUGUUAGUUUUUGCCUUGGGGGAGAAAGCUCCUGGGGUCAGGCAGGGUGAGAUCCAAGAGAAACAGCAGGAGGAUGUAUAAACCCUGAACCCAGAUCAGCAGCUGGUUUAGAACACAGCACCCCAGGGAGCCAAAUGUCAAUAGGGGAGUAUCAGAAGCUGCACUGCUGGGUUCACAAACAGGCUCUUUCCCAGGGA